rnacentral:tRNA from 1 species
UAGAUUGAAGCCCGCUGGCUUGGGUGUUUAGUUGUUAAUUAAGUCUUCGCGGGAUCAAGGCCCGUCAAUCUAGU